rnacentral:rRNA from 1 species
UACAUACUGUGCGAACGUUAUUCGGAUUCACUGGGCUUAAAGGGUGUGUAGGCGGCUUGUUAAGUAGGGUGUGAAAUCCCCCAGCUCAACUGGGGAACUGCAUUCUAAACUAGCGAGCUAGAGUGAGAUAGGGGUGUGUGGAACUGCCAGUGGAGCGGUGAAAUGUGUUGAUAUUGGCAGGAACGCCGGUGGCGAAAGCGACACACUGGGUCUCAACUGACGCUGAGACACGAAAGCCAGGGGAGCAAACGGG